rnacentral:snRNA from 1 species
GCAUCUUCUCGGCCUUCGUGGCUAAGAUCAAGUGUAGUAUCUGUUCUUAUCAGCUUAAUCUCUGGUAGUGAGGCCAUGUGCCUCACAACUCAAGAUUAGACUUAUUUCUUGUGGGCGCCCUGGCACCAAGUUUCCUUGCAGCUGUGCUGUUGAGGCGGUCCAGGGAGCAGUGAUCAGCUUCACAUUUGCACAUCUCCGUGAAGUUCUUAAAUUGGUCCACCCCCU